GACGAACGCUGGCGGCGUGCUUAACACAUGCAAGUCGAACGGAAAGGCCCUGCUUUUGUGGGGUGCUCGAGUGGCGAACGGGUGAGUAACACGUGAGUAACCUGCCCUUGACUUUGGGAUAACUUCAGGAAACUGGGGCUAAUACCGGAUAGGAGCUCCUGCUGCAUGGUGGGGGUUGGAAAGUUUCGGCGGUUGGGGAUGGACUCGCGGCUUAUCAGCUUGUUGGUGGGGUAGUGGCUUACCAAGGCGGCGACGGGUAGCCGGCCUGAGAGGGUGACCGGCCACAUUGGGACUGAGAUACGGCCCAGACUCCUACGGGAGGCAGCAGUGGGGAAUAUUGCACAAUGGGCGCAAGCCUGAUGCAGCAACGCCGCGUGCGGGAUGACGGCCUUCGGGUUGUAAACCGCUUUCAGCAGGGACGAAGCUUUUUGUGACGGUACCUGCAGAAGAAGCACCGGCUAACUACGUG
rnacentral:rRNA from 1 species